CGUAAUAGCUCACUGGUCGAGUCGGCCUGCGCGGAAGAUGUAACGGGGCUAAACCAUGCACCGAAGCUGCGGCAGCGAACGUAUCACUUAAAGCGAUUCAGCGGGUUACGAUUGACGGAGCGAAGCGACGUCAAAGCGUAUACAAAGUCGAGUCGGUUUAAGGAUACGUUCGUUGGGUAGGGGAGCGUUCUGUAAGCCUGUGAAGGUGUGUCGUGAGGCAUGCUGGAGGUAUCAGAAGUGCGAAUGCUGACAUAAGUAACGAUAAAGCGGGUGAAAAGCCCGCUCGCCGGAAGACCAAGGGUUCCUGUCCAACGUUAAUCGGGGCAGGGUGAGUCGACCCCUAAGGCGAGGCCGAAAGGCGUAGUCGAUGGGAAACGGGUUAAUAUUCCCGUACUUGGUGUUACUGCGAAGGGGGGACGGAGAAGGCUAUGUUGGCCGGGCGACGGUUGUCCCGGUUUAAGCGUGUAGGUGUGUGUUCCAGGUAAAUCCGGUUCACUUUAACACUGAGGCGUGACGACGAGGCACUACGGUGCUGAAGCAACAAAUGCCCUGCUUCCAGGAAAAGCCUCUAAGCAUCAGGUAACAUCAAAUCGUACCCCAAACCGACACAGGUGGUCAGGUAGAGAAUACCAAGGCGCUUGAGAGAACUCGGGUGAAGGAACUAGGCAAAAUGGUGCCGUAACUUCGGGAGAAGGCACGCUGACACGUAGGUGAAGUGAUUUACUCAUGGAGCUGAAGUCAGUCGAAGAUACCAGCUGGCUGCAACUGUUUAUUAAAAACACAGCACUGUGCAAACACGAAAGUGGACGUAUACGGUGUGACGCCUGCCCGGUGCCGGAAGGUUAAUUGAUGGGGUCAGCGCAAGCGAAGCUCCUGAUCGAAGCCCCGGUAAACGGCGGCCGUAACUAUAACGGUCCUAAGGUAGCGAAAUUCCUUGUCGGGUAAGUUCCGACCUGCACGAAUGGCGUAAUGAUGGCCAGGCUGUCUCCACCCGAGACUCAGUGAAAUUGAACUCGCUGUGAAGAUGCAGUGUACCCGCGGCAAGACGGAAAGACCCCGUGAACCUUUACUAUAGCUUGACACUGAACAUUGAGCCUUGAUGUGUAGGAUAGGUGGGAGGCUUUGAAGUGUGGACGCCAGUCUGCAUGGAGCCGACCUUGAAAUACCACCCUUUAAUGUUUGAUGUUCUAACGUGGACCCGUGAUCCGGGUUGCGGACAGUGUCUGGUGGGUAGUUUGACUGGGGCGGUCUCCUCCUAAAGAGUAACGGAGGAGCACGAAGGUUGGCUAAUCCUGGUCGGACAUCAGGAGGUUAGUGCAAUGGCAUAAGCCAGCUUGACUGCGAGCGUGACGGCGCGAGCAGGUGCGAAAGCAGGUCAUAGUGAUCCGGUGGUUCUGAAUGGAAGGGCCAUCGCUCAACGGAUAAAAGGUACUCCGGGGAUAACAGGCUGAUACCGCCCAAGAGUUCAUAUCGACGGCGGUGUUUGGCACCUCGAUGUCGGCUCAUCACAUCCUGGGGCUGAAGUAGGUCCCAAGGGUAUGGCUGUUCGCCAUUUAAAGUGGUACGCGAGCUGGGUUUAGAACGUCGUGAGACAGUUCGGUCCCUAUCUGCCGUGGGCGCUGGAGAACUGAGGGGGGCUGCUCCUAGUACGAGAGGACCGGAGUGGACGCAUCACUGGUGUUCGGGUUGUCAUGCCAAUGGCACUGCCCGGUAGCUAAAUGCGGAAGAGAUAAGUGCUGAAAGCAUCUAAGCACGAAACUUGCCCCGAG
rnacentral:rRNA from 1 species